UGACUGUCAGUUUGAGCCACUCGCAACGCGACAACACCAUCAUCUAUUCUCUGCCAUCCACGGUUCUCACGCAUACAUGAAAACACGGUGCAAAAGGCUGCUGUAAAGCGGCAAUCCAUACGUUCCGCUAGUCCGUGCCAGUAUAAAGUGUCCGGAGUGCAAAUUUUAUGACACGUGCGGAUUAAAAACUCAAACUUCUCCGAAAAAAAGCAACCCGACGCAUAUUCCGGUGCCGAAAAAGUGCUAGGCACGACAGAACCAGCCUGGUGAAAGAAUAUCCUCCGUGGUGUCCGACGAUAUUGCGCGAGACCGGAACGCAUUGAUAUCCCUCCGUGGUCCAGUCGGGUCCGAUUAUCACGAAACGAACCGAAAAUUAGAAAACGGAACAGUUCCGAGUGGAAAUCGGUAGCACAAUUUCCGAGCGGGGGUGUUUCGUCAAAAAGGAAAGAGGAUAAGCGGUGCCAGAAAACAAACCGUGUUGAAGAGGUCGUCCGAGCGAUUGGAACGACG